GUCAGUAACCCAGCCCUAAAGGGACUGGGCUUGCAAGAGUAAUCAAGCAAGCCGUACUGACCAGACCACCCUGAGUUUACUCUCAUGGUAGCCGUUAUUUGAGUCACGACACCCCGGAAUGCGAAGCUAGUUCCCUGCUCUGUCGCUUGUGAUUAAACAGUUCUAAGGUCACUGGAACAGUGUUGCAAGCCUAACAAGCUCUUAUAACAGGUCGAAGCUAACAUUACCCCAGAAAUGGG
rnacentral:sRNA from 1 species